CACAAUGCUAUCGAUCAGACAGCUACGUAGACAAAGAGAUAAUAAUCACGUCGGUUUGAAGAUGUCACUGCGUGUACGUUGCCAUGUACAAUGAUAUGAAAUAUGGAUACGUACGAUACGACCAACGUAGAACGCGUCCUUGCAGUAUCUUUGUCAUCGAAGACGCGUUAGUUGGAGGCGGUGGCCUUUGACACGAGAUCGCUAGAGUGUCUGACGUUUUAAUUGCUUUGGCUGGCGAGAAUCAGGUUAGGUUCAAGCAAAAGCGUUCGCGAUAACGAGGGCAAUGUUUCGACGUUGACUACGAUGGACGAGAAAUUACGACGUUUUGGCCCUUGACAACGAGGUUGUUCGUCGAGCUUCGCGAAAGCAAAGUAACAGUUUGGUAAUGAGAUGUUUCCUUCGUCUGCGCGAUUUAUUGCAUGGUUAUAGCAGCCACGGAGUACAAAAUGUGGAAGAAAAUGGCACGGGAGAGCGAUUCCAGUUGGACAAAUAAAUCCGGCGACACGUAGAAGAGGCGGGAUAAUACAGUGCAGAGUAACUUUCGUUGAAAAAACAAGCCGAAAAUUGAAGAGAAUUCAAGAAACGACGCUGGAACACGCUGCGAAACACUGAACCAGGUUCUCUAGACGUGGCGGUAGCCUCUCAAGGUCCGCGUGGGUCAGUCACAACAGCCGACUGUGCAAACGGCGAAAACCAUAGAAAACGAAGCACAAUUGUGGAGGAACAAGCCCGUUUGCUACACGCCAGGCGGCAAGUUUCGCUGUACGUGUCCGCCUGGCGAGCCAAGCUACUACCAUACACGACGAUGGUGGUCGGUGAGCCGGCGACAGACUGCGGAUCAUUUCUUUUUUCCACCUACCAACCGCCCACGACGGGUCGUCGGUGGAGGAAUAAAUAGGAACCGGGGGCAGCAGACGCGGUGCAACAGAAAUGAUUCAUCUGUCGAAGAAUCGAUAAACGAGCGCUUCCAUGGCUGGUUUUAUAAUUUUAUUUUAAAAUUCCUAUUUCCUGGCGAUAACAAGAGGAAGAAUAUAACGAAUAAUAAUGGAAUUGUAUAGAAGAGGAACAAUAUAAUGAAUUUUCUGUGCUUCUAUUUACUUAGAAUGGAAAUAAUUUUCUAUCGUUUGCUAUACCAAAGCGUGGACGCCGAAUGAAUUAUUGCUUUGCUUUAUCAAUAUGACGCGAUAAACAGUAAUCUCAUAUAUUAAUAAAUAUGCAGAAAUUGAUUAAUCGGAUAACAUAAGAAGUAACAUAAAAUUAGACGAAUAAAAGAAAUAACAGUAAAUGUACAAUUUUACAUUAAACAUUGAAAUCGGCCAUUUGGUAAUGUUAAUGUUAAAACUGAGAAAAGGCAAGUAAUUGUAUUUAUUGGGUUGGCAACUAAGUGAUUGCGGAUUUUGUCAUUAGGUGGUAUUGAUAAAAUCCGCAAUCACUUAGUUGCCAACCUAAUAGUUCUCUUGUUUUCUGCAACUUGCCACGUGUCUUUUAACAAACGUUAGAAGUUUUGUAGACUUGUGUUUUAUAGACUUUUGAAAUUUAUCAGACAAUUUUUGUAAUACAACAAGGAAGCAAAAAGCAUUUUUGCAAGCACUGAAUGGGGUUGUAUCGUGUUCACGAUUCGAUCAAUUACGAAAAUCGUAAACGACAAUUUCCUUAUUUUUCAGAUAUUCUGCUCAUUGUUAUUUCGUAUCGUAGAGCUCAACUUAGUGUCACUUUAAAAUACUCGUCGGAUAAUGACGAAUUUCGCUUUAUAUAAACGUCCGUUUUCUUUAUCUAAAAAUCGUUAUCGUCUUCCAAUUCUGAGACUCUUCUUUUAUCUACUUUUAUCCGCUUAUUUAUAAAAUAGCGCCAAUCUCAGAACUAAUUCGAAAUACAGAAUCAUUAUCUGUCUAUCUAUUAAUAACUUACAUCACUGACGUUAGCCGGAAGUCAUCCGUCGAUAAACAAAUUCACUUUCGCUGCUCGAAGCAAUUGAUUAAUAAUUACUAACCAUAAAAGUAGAAUUUUCGCUCUUGAGAAACGAUACCUUCGACAGCAAUGCAAAUAUUUCGUAAAAAUACCAAUGAAAAUAUUAACAAUUUACCGACCGCUAACGAUUCAACACCAUACGCACGUCCGAUCGGCAACUCCGGCGCAGAUUCUCCCUAGCGCCGCCUCUGUUUCGGUUUAGACUUUCCAAUACCAUUCUUUUCGUUCAUCGCGAACGGUAAGUUUUUCAAAUUGGUAUAAAACUGUGGGAGCCUACAAAGCAACGCAAUUGACGCAACUGAGCAAGGUACCUUAGUACUAAAUGACAAAUUACCGCUCAAAAAAUGAGAAAAAUUGUCGGCGACAAACAGCCGAUUAAUAGGCUAUCGGUCGGUAAGCAUCGGCGACAAACAGCCGAUUAAUAGGCUAUCGGUCGAUAAAGCGUUAAUAACACAAUUUGUACAAUCGUUGACCUCUGGAUGACACGCGUAAGUUCCGUAGAACAAAUGGACAACCUUCCACGCCAUUGAAAAAAUCAAUAGGAUAAAUGGAAUUGCUCCGCUUUUACAAUAAACAAAUAAUUUCGCAUUCCGAUCAGCCGACAAGUUUACGCUGACCAACUUCACGCGCAUACAUCCGACACUGCUUUCACACUAUUGAAACAAUUGAUUUGCGAAAAAGCAUAAAACUUGCGUUUCAUUCGAUAAACGCACGAGAGAAAAGAUAACACGUGUAGGAAAAUAUCAUUUUUUGAAAAAUCCGCGUUUUACUCGUCGUCGAUGUCCAUUGCUAUUGCAACGAAUACGUUUGUCCAUUAGUAGGAAAAAAAUGAUUUUCGUCGCACGAAAUAUGUGCCGUCCGAUCGUUUCGUAUCAGUUACGACGACGUGUUUCGUUGUGUUCUUGUACAAAUCGGGGAAAUUUAAAACGAUAUAAUUUCAAUUCUCCUCGAGCCAAAUUAAAUUCUCUUUACUCGAUCAAGUUCUGACUGUUGGUGAAUGUUCAAUCUGCGGCUUAUUGGACGAACGAACAACACCUUGCGUUGUUUCUUGAAACAGAAUGAAGAAAUGUAAAACGAUAUAAUCUCGAUUCUCUUUGCAUCGAAUCAAGUGAUUCUUUGUUCGCUCAAGAUCUCAGUUGUACGAUCUGACGAUCGUUAAACAAACGAACAGCAUCCUUCAGAUGCUUUAUGCUCUUACCGCGACUCUACAACAGUCGGUUGUUUGUAACAGCGAUAACAAAGUGGAAUUUGUCUCAUGAUGAAGCGGUUCUUGGAAGGUCUGUCGGUUUCUUCGGUUUGAGGAUAAAAAUAAACGAAACGUGCGAAAAAUAUCGUUUCAAGGUAAGUAAAACCGUGCAAAUAUGAAUAAAACGUGGUAAAAAAAGAGUCGCGUAAUUUUAACCAAGACGUGUUAAACAAAUUGUGUAAAAGUUAAUAACACGUGUUAAAAGGUCGUUGUAAAAGUGGAUCUUGUAGGAAGAUUCCCAGGUGUAAUAAAAAUUUCGAUGCUAAUUUCAUAGCAAACUGUAAUUUCCUUUUCGAUAAAAGCCCAAAAACAGGGUGGAAUUGAAUUUUUUUGAAAAAUGAAGUUACCCCACUUUCACGUAUUCCACUUUAGAUUAGUCGUUUACUUUUUUCCUGGCUGCUACGUGCAUUGUGAUAUAACAUGUUAAUAAUAAUGCAAUAUUAUGUUAUACAAAUAAUGUAUAUAAUAUUAUAUAUUACUAGUAUUUUUGUUU